GGUCACAUAGCUCAGAGGUAGAGCACUGCGUUCACAUCGCAGGUGUCACAGGUUCGAUCCCUGUUGUGACCACCA
rnacentral:tRNA from 1 species